CAGCAGCCGCGGUAAUACGUAGGGUGCAAGCGUUAAUCGGAAUUACUGGGCGUAAAGGGAGCGUAGGCGGACAUUUAAGUCAGGGGUGAAAUCCCGGGGCUCAACCUCGGAAUUGCCUUUGAUACUGGGUGUCUUGAGUAUGAGAGAGGUAUGUGGAACUCCGAGUGUAGAGGCGAAAUUCGUAGAUAUUCGGAAGAACACCAGUGGCGAAGGCGACAUACUGGCUCAUUACCGACGCUGAGGCUCGAAAGCGUGGGGAGCAAACAGGAUUAGAUACCCGUGUAGUCCCUGUCUCUUAUAC
rnacentral:rRNA from 1 species